rnacentral:tRNA from 1 species
AGAAAGUUAGUCUAACCAAGACAGUUGAUUUCGACUCAACAGACCAUAGUUUACCCCUGUGACUUUCUC